AGCUUAGUGGUUAAGAGCACUGGCUGCUAUUCCAGAAGACCUGGGUUCAAUUCCCAG
rnacentral:tRNA from 1 species